rnacentral:rRNA from 1 species
CCCGAUCGUACUCUAUGGAAACAUAGGGGUCAGUUCGGCUGGAUCGGUGACAGGUGCUGCAUGGCUGUCGUCAGCUCGUGUCGUGAGAUGUUGGGUUAAGUCCCGCAACGAGCGCAACCCUUGUCCUUAGUUGCCACCAUUCAGUUGGGCACUCUAAGGAGACUGCCGGUGUUAAACCGGAGGAAGGUGGGGAUGACGUCAAGUCCUCAUGGCCCUUAUAUCCAGGGCUACACACGUGCUACAAUGGCCGGUACAAAGGGUCGCCAACCCGCGAGGGGGAGCCAAUCCCAUAAAGCCAUUCGUAGUCCGGAUCGCAGUCUGCAACUCGACUGCGUGAAGUCGGAAUCGCUAGUAAUCGUGGAUCAGAAUGUCACGGUGAAUACGUUCCCGGGUCUU